CGCUGGCGCUCGUUUAGUCAGUGAAGUUUGGCGGAGAUUCGCUUGCUGUCAGGACGUCUUAAAACAAAAUGGAAAUACUCAUGUGAAUUUAUAACAUUUACAAACAAGGAUAUAAACAUUAAAUCAGGAAGAUGACUGUGACCGCAGUUAAACCACACAGCAGAUCAUAUGCUCCCGUAAAUGUGUUUUACCUGAUGGCAGAUCUCGUGGACCACCACCAUGGUGAGCUCCAUCUGAUAGGAGAAGGAGGAGACGUCAGGAUCCAACAAGAUCUUCUGCUCCACAAACACACUCAGGCCCCAGUUCUCCAUGGCUGCAUACGGAUGCUUCGGCACUGCCAGGAGAUCUGCACACAUUGAGGAGGAUUCAAGCUCAAUGACGGGAAAACAGGAAUGAUUGUAAUACAUAAAAUGAACAAAGAUGAUGAUGAUGAAGAUGGAGUGACAAGCUCAUUCAAGAGGCAAAGAGCAAUGAAAACAGCAAAGCAAAGACUCAUGCGGUAAUUACACGAGUGAUGGUCUUGAAGAGAGAGACAAAACUACCAUGGUAAUCAGAGAUGUACUUCAACUCAUCCAUCUUCCGUCAGAACUUUCAAAGUUUGAUCAAUACCAGAACACCCCCCGUCUAGACACCUCAAGGCCCAGAACCAUUGAUCCUAAAUGUCCAAUCAGCACGAGGCGCCGGCUGUCCGACAGGUGAUGAAUGAGUCUCCAGUGCAGCUCUGACUGAACCAGUGACAGAGUUGCUUUUUUAGACAAAUGACUCUGAUCUACAGCACAAACUGAGGCUGAAUUAAACCUGUAAUAGGAAUGAAGACGGGAUCCUGCAAUCAAACACAAAUGUGAAGUUGCACACGGCCCAGGCCAGGUAGUACGUGGACAUGCGGGGCGUCCUGGAGAAAUGGUUGGUCACCCAUCCGUCCUCGUCAGACGUUGAAGCCUCCACUGGCAUGUUGGACAGCGACUGAUACGAG